rnacentral:rRNA from 1 species
UACGUAGGGUGCAAGCGUUGUCCGGAAUUAUUGGGCGUAAAGAGCUUGUAGGUGGUUUGUCGCGUCUGCUGUGAAAAUCCGGGGCUCAACCCCGGACUUGCAGUGGGUACGGGCAGACUAGAGUGUGGUAGGGGAGACUGGAAUCCUGGUGUAGCGGUGAAAUGCGCAGAUAUCAGGAGGAACACCGAUGGCGAAGGCAG